GGUCUGAUGGUCUAGAGGUAUGAUUCCUUCUUAGGGUUGUUGCAAUCAUUUGGAGGAGGUCCCGGGUUCAAUUCCCGGUUAGGCCC